GGAUCAGGUAGGAAUACCCGCUGAACUUAAGCAUAUCAAACCGGGGG
rnacentral:rRNA from 1 species